rnacentral:ncRNA from 1 species
UUUUUUACGCAUAAUACACCACCUCUAUACAUUUUACUGUUCCUGUUAUAAUAGUGACAGGUAUAGAAAAACGUAUUAUACAGUUGUACAGUUCCUAUUAUGCGUACCAAAGAUAAAACUAUGCUGCUGAAACGGAAAAAAAAACCGUUAUUUGGCAGCAUACUUUCCCUGCGUCAAAAAUUACAUCAUCAUUUCCAGACGACGGUUUAACAAAAGCCGCCGUCUUUUUU